rnacentral:lncRNA from 1 species
AGCUCUGUGUGUGUUAAAGAAAAAAACUACACUGCUGAUCAUAACAUGCAGGAGCUAAUCUAGGUAAGCAGUUAAGCAAUUAAGUUUGGACCACACCCAGUGAGGUGUGGCUGUUUGUGUAUUAGCUUCUGCUCCUGCUUUUGGUUUCGCUUUUGCUUUUGGAUCUCUCUCUUUUGGAAGAAGAGGCUGAAGAAGCCAUGCUCUUUGUAUUGCAAUGCUUCUUGGAUCUUGAAAUGCUUACAAGGGCUAUUUUCAAUCACUUGUCUGGAGGCUGCAGAUGAUGUGGAAGCUUGUUAGCAGGUGUUGAUGAUACAGAAAGGAGGAUGGAUAUGAUAUAUUUUCUGAAAUAUUUUCUGGUUACUGAUGAACCACUGGGCCCAAUUCAAGGAGUUAGCAGCUGUUGUGCAAAUCCUUUAAUCCCCUUUCAGCUGUGAAGGGCUGACUCCCCCAAGAUUUAACAAGCCUAAACUGUGAAGGGCCAAAUCCCCGAGGAUUGAACAAGCCAAGAAGAAUCUACUUGUAGUUACUUGAAGUAGUGUGACAACACAUAGCAUGACUUUCUUCAUGUUGGCACAAAAAUGAUGGAACUUCCAUUAAAAAUUGUCCCCUACAACCUUGUUUUUCUGGUGAGAAUUAAAACAUAAUUAUACAAGCUUUCAGAGAAGGAACAAAAGUUUGAUAUAUCUUUUAGGGCU